CCCUAGUAACUGCGAGUGAAGCGGGAAAAGCUCAAAUUUAAAAUCUGGUGGUCUUUGGCCAUCCGAGUUGUAAUUUAGAGAAGCGUCUUCCGCGCUGGACCGUGCACAAGUCUCCUGGAAUGGAGCGUCACAGAGGGUGAGAAUCCCGUCUUUGGCACGGACGUACCAGGGCUUUUGUGAUGCGCUCUCGAAGAGUCGAGUUGUUUGGGAAUGCAGCUCAAAAUGGGUGGUGAACUCCAUCUAAAGCUAAAUAUUGGCGAGAGACCGAUAGCGAACAAGUACCGUGAGGGAAAGAUGAAAAGCACUUUGGAAAGAGAGUGAAACAGUACGUGAAAUUGUUGAAAGGGAAACGCUUGAAGUCAGUCGCGUCGACCGAGACUCAGCCUUGCCUUGGCUUGGUGUACUUCUCGGCUGACGGGUCAGCAUCAAUUUUGCCCCUUGGAUAAUGGCGAGGGAAAUGUGACACCUUUACGGUGUGUUAUAGUCCCUCGUCGCAUGCAAGGGUCGGGAUUGAGGAACUCAGCACGCGCCUUUGGGUGUCGGGGCUUUGCCCACGAUACGUGCUUAGGAUGUUGGCGUAAUGGCUUUAAACGACCCGUCUUGAAACACGGACCAAGGAGUCUAACAUGCCUGCGAGUGUUCGGGUGGAAAACCCGUGCGCGCAAUGAAAGUGAAAGUUGGGACCUCUGUCGUGGAGGGCACCGACGCCCGGACCAGACCUUCUGUGACGGCUCUGCGGUAGAGCAUGUAUGUUAGGACCCGAAAGAUGGUGAA
rnacentral:rRNA from 1 species